ACCUGAGUCAAUCUGGGAGAAGGCCAGAUUUGGGGAGGAUGUAAUUAUUGGGAACCUUGAUUGUGGUGUUUGACCGGAGUCAAAGAGCUUUAGCGACGAUGGGUAUGGACCCAUUCCAUCAAGGUGGAAAGGAGGUUGUACGGACACCACACCUGAUGGAGUUCAUUGCAACAGGAAGUUGAUUGGUGCAGGUCUUCAAUCUAGGGUACCUAGCG